ACGAGAGAUGGAAAGUAAUUGAAAGGAAACUAAGACAAUUAAAUAAUUAACAACUUACAUACAUAAUCAAUGAAUUUCACAAGGUUCGGCAUCAUCAAACUUUAACAAAAGAAGUUUAAACCAAAUAAACAUCAUAACCAAGAUUUGUCAAGCUCAUAUACAGGUUAAAGUUUUUAAAACAUUCUACAACACGGCAAAAGUGAUAAGAGAGACAAAGUGUUGCAGCGGAGUACAUCAUUGGACAUUAUGUAUGAAGACACAAUAUCCUGAGCCUAUUACUAUUUACAUAAACAAAAAGCUCCAGCUCAGCACACUUCCAUCUUCAUCCAAACUUAACCUGCACAUUUAAAAAGAUAUGCAGGGCUGAGUACCACAAGCACUCAGUGAACAUAUGCCGAAAACAUUUAAAACUCUGCAUGAUAAUGCUAUAUAUUGAACUUGCCACUUUAAGCAAUACACAAGGGAUUUUCUGAAGCAACCUGUGUUUGCUAAACUGUUUUUACAUAGUAUUUGAAAGUGUCUGCGCAGACUAAGUUCUCAUGUAAGUAUGUACCAUAUCUACUAGUCUCAAUAAACACGUUGAGAAGUAGGCCUCCUUCCCAAACGUAACGACAAGCUAACUCAAGGUUAACCGUCACUCUGUGUACACAAAUCCUGACUCGCUCAGGACCCGAAUUCGUUCUUCUAUGUAGAUGGUAUCAUACAAAUCUUAAACAUUGGCAAGUCAACAAUUUGAAAAUAAAUGCAUACACUUAAACUUUAUAUAUUAAAGUAUGCAUCUUUGUUUCUUGAGUUAGUAAGCCCACCUGAUAUGUUUCUCUUACUUCGUACUCUAGUGUCAGGCUCGUUCCUAGCCGGGACCUUUAAAUAGAUAAAAAUUUCGUAAGAAAAAUAAGUAAGUAAAAUAUAUAUAUAUCUAAUACUAUAACAAUAACUCAUGUUUCCUGUUAACUUAUUAUUCUAACAUUUCCUCACAUCAUAUCAUCAAUACAAUAACACCACUCAUCCUCUUAACUCAAUAAGGAAAAAAAAGAAUAAGCCCACAGAUGUUUGUCAAUUCUCACUGAAAAGAUACAUAUUUAGUUUAAUAAACUAUCUUUAUCAAUCUCCUCAAUCUCUUUGAAAUAAAAUCUCAAUGAUGAUCUCAAUUUAAACUCAAUUAUUAAAGUCACUAAUCUCAUCCAUAUGCAUAAAAAUAGAAACUUUAUCAAUUCCCUGCUCUUUAUACUAUAGAGCUGUACAAAAGAAUUGGGUAGUAAAGGCUGUUCUACUCUUAAUAAUUUAUAGAAUCACUAUAAUAUACUUAUAUCCAUCAAACAAUAGCAUAUAACCCUUCUCAACUCAAAAGCCCCAACUUCCCCUAAACUAACAAAAUCAAUCUCACAAACCCUAUGGUGCAAACUCAUAAUAUACUCAUAUAUAAUCAUAAUUCCAGCUCAAGAGCACAUAUAUAAACUCAUUUAUUCAAGAACAUAACCAGAAUUUUCGAACUCAAACCUAGGGUUUACACUAACUUGAGAAAAAUCCAAAAUCAAGUAACAAUUACUGCAAUUUACCCACCACAAUCAUGCUUAGGAAUCAUCAGAAACAUAAUAUAUAUCAAUAUUAGAAUCAGACUUCAACUCUAAUAUAAAAUCCCUAAUUUUCGAAGAACCCUAAAAUUCAAAACAGAAAUCUCCUUCAAGUUAAAAGUUAGAGAGAGGUAGAAAAUCAAGAACUUUACCAGUUCUUCCAAAAUAUGUAGUUAUUGCUCAAAAUUUCUAGGUAGAAUUGAGCUCGCAGGAUUGGAAAUGGUGGUACUGUGUGGGGGAGUCGAAGGUUGUGGAGGUAGGAAAUAUAAGUAAGUUUUCUUCUAAUUUCUAACUUGAGUAAUAUAUAUAUGUGUUCCCCUUUUUGCUCCUUGGAAACCGUGCGAUUAAAAUGGGUUGAUAGAGUUAGCAAAUUUUUUUUGUAAUCUGACUCCAUUCGCUCCACUUAGAAUUUUCUCUUUUUUUUUUUAAUACUAAUAAAUCAUAUAAGACCAACUACAAAUAUUAAUAAAUAGAUUUAUAAAUAAAUGAAAUUCUUUUAGGAAAACGCCUAAAUAAUUAUUCUCCAACUACAAAAAUUUAAUGAAGCCAAUCAACAUUGGAUUUACAGAUCUCGUAGAUAAAUCUCCUUUAAUUCAGAUUAGUACAGUUGGUUUUAACGAACCAACACCUAAACUAUAAGGAAAACAAUUACCUAGUCGGGCUGAAAGAAGUAAAAAUGAUCGGAAAACUUGCAAAGAAAACACUUGUAUUCGAAAAUAUGAGAAGCGUUCAUAAUACACGAGCUCGGGCCCUAUUUAUAGAUUUACAAACGGAGGGGUAAAAUAGUAAAAACAUCUUCGGUGCAUGCGUCUUGCGUGGUGGAAGGGUAUACUGGUAAUUUCGAUAAUACGCGGGAGGCCUUCCCGCGCAUUUAAUGACUCCUCUGGUAAAGAUGUCUCUUCUGGCAAAUGCGUCUUCUCUGGCGAUGUAAUCUCUGGUGGAGGUGACUCUUCUGGCAGACACGUCGUCUCUGGCAAAGGCUUCUCCUCUGGCGAUGGUGACUUCCCUGGCGCGGAUGACUCUUCUGACAAACACGUCGUCUCUGGCAAAGGCUUCUCCUCUGGCGAUGGUGACCUCCCUGGCGCGGAUGACUCCUCUGACGAAGGUGGUUCCCCUGGUGAGGGUGACUUCUCUGAAGAACGCGAUUCCUCUGGCAAGAGCCAUUCCUCUGAUGGGUGAUAUCCUUUUGGUAAGGAUGGUUCUUCUAACCCAUACUGCUCCUCUGACGGGAGUGAUUCCUCUGAUUUGUACUCUCUCCCUACUCUGCACAUAUUGCUCCUCACCAAAUCUUAAUUACCAAACCAAUAAACUCAUUAGUAAAUAAUACUCAAAUAAUUAAAUAGCAUCUCAAGCUAUUUAAUUCCUUUAACAACUACUCCCUCCGUCCCGCUAUUCAAGUCUCAUUUUCCUUUUUGGGUUGUCCCACCGAUAAUGUCCCGUUUCCUAAAAAGGAAAUAAUAAGGGGAUGCUUAACAUUAAUUAAAACACUAAUUAAAUGUCUAAUACAAAAGAUCAAAAAUACAUCUAACCCUAGAAUUCAAGGAGACUCUCGGCCCUCUCUCUCUCUGCGCCUCCACCCUCACUUUCUCUCCGGUGGACGCCGGAUCUGUCACCUCUCUCCGGCGCUCAGUGAAGCCACGGCCGCCUCUCCUUCCACUCACAAAUCCAGCACAGAGCCACCGCCAUCGUCACCAACAACAGCUCCCUCUCCCCACUCCUCGGUCGAGCGACAGCAGCUCACGUCGCCGCCCUCGGACGCCCUUUUCCUCCCUCUGAUCUCCUCCGCCUCCGCCUCUCACCUCUGAUCUCCCCUGACCCUCUGCAAAACCCUAACCCCUAAUUUGGGUUGCAGAUUUGGUUGGGGGAAAUCGUUUGAUUUCACCUUUGAAUCUGCAUCGCCGCUCCAUCCUACCCAAUUUCAAUUGCUCUACCAUUAAUUUGUCUCUCACAUCAUUUCAUGUCACGUAAUUAUACUUGAAUCUCUAGUCUUUUGGUGUUGAUGGGCUUAGAGUUGUUAGAGAAGGUCUUAGACUAUGCAAAGAAGAAGAGAAAGUGGGCAUUUGUUGUGGGACUCACGUGCUACGGCGUGCACAAGCUCUACAACUUCCCCUGUGUUGUUAAGAGGAGGCAAAGCUUCUCCAAAUUCUUGGCUGCCUUCACUUCAGUAGCUGAAAUGGUCUCCGAUUCCGCCGACGCACUCGGGAUGCUUUCCAAAGAUCUCAAGCAGUUUCUCGCCUCGGAUUUCUGAGCUCGAUUUCGAUUUUGGUGGGUUGCAACCCAACUUCUGCAAUUUCGCCCAAAUUUCUGCAAAUCGCCCAAUUUCUGAAAAUUUAUGUUCAUUUAAGAAUUUUAGUUUUUCAUAAUUUCAAUUUUUCAUUUUCAGAAUUUUAAUUAUUUAGGAAUUUUUCAUUUUCAUUAGAAUCAUCAAACAUUAACAAUCCCUUAAUCACAAACUUAAAUAUGUGGACCCCACUCUUUAUUCUACUUACUUCAUUCUCCUUAAUCUCCGUGGCGAAAAGAAACGGGACAUGAAUAGCGGGACGGAGGGAGUAUAUAAAUACUAAUAAAAAUAUUAUAAAAAUAUACGGGGUAUUACAUCCUCUCCCCCUAAAAAUAAAUUUCGUCCCGAAAUUUGCGUACCUCGUUAAAUAACUCGGGGUAUUUCUCUCUCAUCUUGUUCUCGAGUUCCCAUGUCGCUUCAUCUCGCCCAUGGUGUCUCCACUGGACCUUGACCAAGUUAAUGGAUUUGUUUCGCAGUUGUUGAAUCUUGUUAUCCAAAAUCAUUUCAGGUCUCUCUUCAUAGCUCAUAUCUGGUUCAAUUUCUAUCUUUUCUUGGUGGAUGACAUGUUUGGGGUCGAAGACAUACUUUCGCAACUGCGACACGUGAAACACGUUAUGCACGUUGCCAAAAUUUGGUGGCAGUGCUAAUCUGUAGGCGACUGGGCCUAUUUUCUCCAAAAUCUCAUAUGGUCCUAUGAAUCUCGGUUUUAACUUUCCUUUCACUCCAAACCUGGAUACUCCUUUAGUCGGCGAAACUUUUAGAAAUACUUUGUCCCCCAUCUCAAACUGCAGCUCGGUUCGUCGAUUAUCGGCAUAAGAUUUUUGUCUAUCCUGUGCCUCUUUCAUUCGUUGUUUAAUCUGUCGGACAAUUGUAAUCAUCUCCUCCACCGCAUCGGGUCCUAAGACUCUUCUUUCACCCACUUCAUCCCAAUAAAGAGGAGAUCGACACUUCCUUCCAUACAGAGCUUCGUAUGGUGCCAUGUUGAUCGUUGCUUGAAAACUAUUAUUAUAAGCAAACUCAAUAAGGGGUAGAGCUUGUUCCCAUUGCGUGCUUUGAUCCAAUACAAUGGUUCUGACCAUAUCUUCUAAAGUUUGAAUGGUCCUUUCAGAUUGCCCAUCAGUUUGGGGAUGAAAAGCUGUACUGAAAUUCAGCUUGGUGCCCAAUUCUUUCUGUAGACUCAUCCAAAAUCGUGAGGUAAACUUAGAAUCUCGGUCCGACGUAAUAGUUAUUGGUAUUCCAUGUAAUCGUACUAUUUCUCGGACAUACAAUUGGGCCAAUUUGUCAGAGCCAUAAGUAAUGGGGAUUGGAAUAAAAUGAGCACUCUUCGUAAGUCGGUCUACGAUUACCCAAAUUGCCGUAUUUCCUCUUUUGGACUUUGGCAGACCGGUUACAAAAUCCAUUGUUAUAUGCUCCCAUUUCCAUUCCGGAACUUCCAACGGUUGUAACUUCCCAUAAGGUCGUUGGUGUAACGCCUUUACCUGUUGACAAGCCAAGCAUCGUUCAACAAAAGAAGCUAUGUCUCGUUUCAUUCCUUCCCACCAGAAUUUCUGUUUAAGAUCUUGAUACAUUUUGGUGCUUCCUGGGUGAGCAGUAUAUGGCAUUUUAUGAGCUUCACUCAUGAUUUCGUCCUUUAAGCUUUUAUCAUUCGGAACAACAAGUCUUCCCUCGUACAAAAUUGCAUUGGCUGCUGCUUCUUUAUAUCCACUAACUCGUUCUGUCCGAAUUUUGAGUCGUAACCCUUCUAACUUUUCAUCAUUUCUUUGCGCAUUGGCCACCCUAGUUCUCAGAUCAGGAGUUAUUGUCAAGGUCGCUAUCAUACCCUCCAUAGUUUGCGGUGGCAAAAUCACUUCUAGCUUCAAUUUUUCAAAAUCCUUGAUAAGUUCUUCCCUUUGUGUGAGGAGAAACCCUAGCUUGGAUUGGCUCUUUCUACUUAAAGCAUCAGCUACUACAUUAGCUUUCCCUGGAUGAUAAUUGAUUCCACAGUCGUAGUCUUUGACCAAUUCAAGCCAUCGUCUUUGUCUCAUGUUCAGAUCUUUCUGCUCAAAGAAAUAUUUGAGACUUUUGUGAUCUGUAUAGAUUUCGCACCUAGCCCCAUAGAGAUGGUGUCUCCAAAUUUUAAGUGCAUGGACUACAGCUGCUAGUUCUAGGUCGUGUGUUGGAUAAUUCAAUUCAUGUGGUCGUAGUUGUCGUGAUGCAUAGGCAAUGACUUUGUCGUUCUGCAUCAACACACAACCUAGUCCAAUCUUUGAAGCAUCAGUGUAAAUUGCAUAUUCUUUAUCAGCUUCUGGCACUGCCAACACUGGGGCUGUAGUUAACUUAUUCUUGAGUUCUUGGAAGCUCUCUUCACAUUCCUCCGUCCAUAUAAAUUUGGUAUUCUUCUUGAGUAAUUGGGUCAUCGGCCGUGCUAUCUUAGAGAAUCCUUCAAUAAAUCUUCGAUAGUACCCAGCAAGACCUAAGAAACUGCGAAUUUCGUUAGCUGUAGUGGGUGAUUUCCACUCUUGCACAACUUGUACUUUUGCAGGGUCAACCUUAAUUCCUUCCGAUGAGACAAUAUGCCCCAAGAAAUUUACUUCUCUCAACCAAAAUUCGCAUUUGCUGAACUUGGCAUAAAGUUUUUCAGCUCUUAAUCUCUCCAAUACAGUCUUGAGAUGUUCUUCAUGUUCUUCUUUACUCUUUGAGUAGAUAAGAAUAUCGUCUAUGAACACCAAUACAAACUUAUCCAAAUAUGUGUGAAAUACACGGUUCAUAAGGUCCAUGAACACUGCUGGGGCAUUGGUUAACCCAAAAGGCAUUACUACGAAUUCAUAGUGUCCAUACCUUGUUCGAAAAGCAGUUUUAGGGACAUCGUCUCGUCGUAUCUUCAAUUGGUGAUAUCCAGAUCUCAAAUCCAUUUUUGAAAAGAC
rnacentral:lncRNA from 1 species